rnacentral:tRNA from 1 species
GAGGGUAUAGCUCAAGUGGCAGAGCGCAUGCUUAGCAUGCUUGAGGUCCUGGGUUCAAUCCCCAGCACCUCCU